UUAGGGAUCUUUUGCAAUGCGCGCAAGCGUGACAAAGCGAGCCAGAGUGCUUUUCUAUAAUUGAACAGCUUUUGCCAGUUGUAAAAAGACUGGCGAAUAAGGACUGGGCAAGACUGGUGCCAGCCGCCGCGGUAAUCCCAGCAGUCCAAGUCGCAACCACUAUUACUGGGUCUAAGACAUCCGUAGCUCGCAUAGUAAGUCUCUUGUGAAAUCGGGCAUCUUAAGUGUCCGUCGUGCAAGAGAUACUGCUUUGCUAGAGACUGGGGGACGUAAGGAGUACGAUUGAGGUAGUGGUUAAAUACGUUAAUCUCGAUCGGACUAACAACAGCGAAGGCACCUUACGAUUACAGUUCUGACAGUAAGGGAUGAAGGCUAGGGGCGCAAAAUGGAUUAGAUACCCCCGUAGUCC
rnacentral:rRNA from 1 species